UUAGAGUAUCUUACACUACACAUCUUUAAAAUAGUGAUCAAAAGAUUAGAAAAAUGUAAGUGAACAGAAGAACUGAUUUCUUUGCUUCUCUCACUUUGAGGUGGUCCCAACCUACUUAAUGGUGGUGAUAAGAGUUCCCCAGGGUUAGACUACUCUUGGACAGCAAGGAAAGGCAGAGAGAGAGCCUUGAAGGAGCUGGAAUGCCAGUCGACAGCUCCUUACAGUAUCAAGUUUGUGAUGAUGUGGCGUUCUGAAGCUUUUAGUGCUUUUUACACCUUUAUUUGAAAGAGAAAAGCAGCAAGACAAAUUUCGUGACAGUACCAAUUAAAGCUUCUCCCUGAAGAGUUUUGCUGGGAAUGUUGUUGAUCAACAGGCUGAUGUAGUAUACAAAAGGCACAUGUCAGUUGUCUGCAGCCACCCGCACUGAUGCAAAAUGACAGUGAGGAGGCUCUUCUGUCACUGCGUUAGUCACAAAGAGUGUUGUGAAUUCCUCUUAAAGUCCUGACUGGAGAACACACUUGUAUACUGGAUUCCAAGUUUGUCUUCAUUUUUAAAAGAGUUGUGAAUUUCUACCUGAGG
ensembl:lncRNA